GAUGAACGCUAGCGGCAGGCUUAACACAUGCAAGUCGAGGGGUACCAUGGAUUGCUUGCAAUCUGAUGGCGACCGGCGUACGGGUGCGUAACGCGUAUGGAAUCUACCUUUUACAGGGGUAUAGCCCGGAGAAAUUCGGAUUAAUCCCCCAUAGUAUUAUAUUUUGGCAUCGAGAUAUGAUUAAAGGUAAAUAUUUAUAUAUUUAUUGGUAAGAGAUGAUCAUGCGUCUUAUUAGCUAGUUGGUGUGGUAACGGCAUACCAAGGCAACGAUAAGUAGGGGUUCUGAGAGGGAUAUCCCCCACACUGGUACUGAGACACGGACCAGACUCCUACGGGAGGCAGCAGUGAGGAAUAUUGGACAAUGGGCUGAGGCCUGAUCCACCAUGCCGCGUGCAGGAAGACAGCCCUAUGGGUUGUAAACUGCUUUUCUAGAGGAAAAAUAAGGAGUAUGUAUACUUUGAUGACGGUACUUUAGGAAUAAACAUCGGCUAACUUCCGUGCCAGCAGCCGCGGUAAU
rnacentral:rRNA from 1 species